rnacentral:rRNA from 1 species
GUGUCAGCAGCCGCGGUAAUACAGAGGUCCCAAGCGUUGUUCGGAUUCACUGGGCGUAAAGGGUGCGUAGGCGGUCGGGCAAGUUUGAUGUGAAAUCUCCAAGCUUAACUUGGAAAUGGCAUUGGAUACUGCUUGGCUAGAGGAUUGGAGGGGAGACUGGAAUGCUCGGUGUAGCAGUGAAAUGCGUAGAUAUCGAGCGGAACACCAGUGGCGAAGGCGAGUCUCUGGACAAUUCCUGACGCUGAGGCACGAAAGCCAGGGGAGCAAACGGGAUUAGAUACCCUGGUAGUCC